UACGUAGGGUGCGAGCGUUAAUCGGAAUUAUUGGGCGUAAAGGGUGCGCAGGCGGUAUUGUAAGUCAGAUGUGAAAGCCCCGGGCUUAACCUGGGAAUUGCGUUUGAAACUGCAAUGCUAGAGUGUGAUAGAGGAGAGUGGAAUUCCACGUGUAGCAGUGAAAUGCGUAGAGAUGUGGAGGAACACCAAUGGCGAAGGCAGCUCUCUGGAUUAGCACUGACGCUCAUGCACGAAAGCGUGGGGAGCAAACAGGAUUAGAUACCCUGGUAGUCCAUGCCCUAAACUAUGUCAACUAGUUGUCGGAUCCAUUUAAGGGUUUGGUAACGUAGCUAACGCGUGAAGUUGACCGCCUGGGAAGUACGGUCGCAAGAUUAAAACUCAAAUGAAUUGACGG
rnacentral:rRNA from 1 species